rnacentral:SRP_RNA from 1 species
AUAAUUAAGCUGUGCAACAGUUUGAUUGCGAAAUAGGUCAGAACCGGAAGGUGGCAGCCUUAAACAAAAAAAUUGUGUGCACUUUUUUAAUGUACUG